rnacentral:tRNA from 1 species
GAGGGUAUAGCUCAGUGGUAGAGCAUGUGCUUAACAUGCAUGAGGUCCUGGGUUCAAUCCUCAGUACCUCCA